AAUAAUGAUAAUUGUUUGUUAAUUAUUUACGUCAUUGGUCAUCGAUGAUCUCGACCUUGACGUACGCUAUAUAGACGAAGGUGACGAUUGAUUUUUUUUUUUAAAUCCUUCAUGCAGGUCUCAAGUAUUUUAGUUUGCAUAAUAUUUGAUUACGCCAUCGCAGGCGAGGUACCGACAUACGCGUACUACGAAUUGAUAUAUGUAAUGAAAUUUGGGAAAUGUAGUUAUCGGUUGCUGGAGACCGACAAUUAGUUUUGCCCUAUGGAAUGGACGCGACGCUGACGGUUCGCCAGACUGGAUGGCAUUAGGUCUUUUUAUAGGGUUACGUAAAACAAAGCAAAGUAAGCAGUAAACGAGGAUGGAUACACAGCUCGAAACAAUUGUUUGCUGUCGAAUAGUUGGUCUUGU